rnacentral:rRNA from 1 species
CCUACGGGAGGCAGCAGUGGGGAAUAUUGGGCAAUGGAGGAAACUCUGACCCAGCAACGCCGCGUGAAUGAUGAAGGUCUUCGGAUUGUAAAGUUCUUUUCUAAGGGAAGAAGAAAGUGACGGUACCUUAGGAAUAAGCCUCGGCUAACUACGUGCCAGCAGCCGCGGUAAUACGUAGGAGGCGAGCGUUAUCCGGAAUGACUGGGCGUAAAGGGUGCGUAGGUGGUGUGGCAAGUUAGUAGCGUAACUCCAAGGCUCAACCUUGGAACUACUACUAAAACUGUUGGACUUGAGUGCAGGAGGGGCAACCGGAAUUCCUAGUGUAGCGGUGGAAUGCGUAGAUAUUAGGAGGAACACCAGUGGCGAAGGCGGGUUGCUGGACUGUAACUGACACUGAGGCACGAAAGCGUGGGGAGCAAACAGGAUUAGAUACCCGAGUAGUC